rnacentral:rRNA from 1 species
AUGGCGAUGGCCUCCUCCACCACCGCCUCCGUCGCCGCGGCGUCCCUCCGCGCGCUCGCCGGCGCCUCCCCGGCCCCGCCCCCGAAGCCGUUCCUCGUGCUGCUCUCCCCGGCGCCCCCGCGCCGCCUCGGCCUCGGCCUCCGCGCCGCCCGCACGCGCGGCCCGCUCGCCCCGCUCGCCUCCUCCGACUCCUUUUUCGAAACCUCCGCGGCCGUCGACGUAGCCGAGCCGGAGGACGAGGCUCUGGAGGCCGCCGCGGAGGAGGAGCCGGCCGUGGUGGAGGAGGAUGAGGAGGAUGUGGCAGCGGAGGAGGAGGUGGUCGGGGAGUACGUGGAGCCGCCGGAGGAGGCCAAGGUGUACGUCGGCAACCUGCCCUACGACGUCGACAGCGAGCGCCUCGCGCAGCUCUUCGAGCAGGCCGGCGUCGUCGAGGUCUCCGAGGUCAUUUACAACAGGGAAACAGACCAGAGCCGUGGAUUUGGGUUUGUCACCAUGAGUACCAUUGAAGAGGCUGAGAAGGCCGUGGAGAUGUUCCAUCGCUAUGACGUGAAUGGGAGGCUGUUGACUGUAAACAAGGCAGCUCCUAGAGGCGCCCGGGUGGAAAGGCCUCCCCGUGAUUCCGGGUCUUCAUUCAGGAUCUACGUGGGCAACCUGCCAUGGCAAGUGGACGACUCUAGGUUGGUAGAGCUGUUCAGCGAGCACGGCAAAGUUGUCGAUGCCAGGGUUGUCUACGACAGAGACACUGGGCGCUCACGGGGAUUUGGUUUCGUGACAAUGGCAUCGCAGCCGGAACUUGAUGAUGCCAUCGCUGCCCUCGAUGGACAGAGCUUGGAGGGGCGUGCUCUGCGGGUGAACGUCGCGGAGGAGCGGCCACCGCGGAGGUUCUAA